GGAAUGAAGAAUAAAAAUUUUUUACUGAACUCUUCUUCACCCCAGAGCCCGACCCCUCCCAUCUAGAGAUUGUUCCCGGAACACUCCUAAACUUUUCACCCCAGAAUGCAUUCCUGAACUCCUCACCCUAAAGUUCGAACCCUCCCAACUAAAAACUGUUCCAAGAACAUUUUUGAGAUAAAGGCCUCCUGGAACAACCUCAAAAUGAACCGGGUACAUUGCCAAAUGAUAGGACAUGACCCCUUAGUUACGUAGAUUCCUUUGGCAGAACCCCUUGUCCCUUGGCAGAACCCCCUAGUGAUGUAAACUUGUACUUUCCCUGCCCAGUUCUCCCCCUUUGAGUUUUACUAUAUAAGCCUGUGAAAAAUUUUGGCUGGCCGUCGAUUCUCCUCUACACCACUAGGUGUAUGAGUUUCGACCCCAGAGCUCUGGUCUGUGUGCUUUCAUGUUGCUGCUUUAUUAAAUCUUACCUUCUACAUUU
rnacentral:lncRNA from 1 species